rnacentral:rRNA from 1 species
AGAGUUUGAUCCUGGCUCAGGAUGAACGCUGGCGGCGUGCCUAAUACAUGCAAGUCGAGCGAACGGACGAGAAGCUUGCUUCUCUGAUGUUAGCGGCGGACGGGUGAGUAACACGUGGAUAACCUACCUAUAAGACUGGGAUAACUUCGGGAAACCGGAGCUAAUACCGGAUAAUAUUUUGAACCGCAUGGUUCAAAAGUGAAAGACGGUCUUGCUGUCACUUAUAGAUGGAUCCGCGCUGCAUUAGCUAGUUGGUAAGGUAACGGCUUACCAAGGCAACGAUGCAUAGCCGACCUGAGAGGGUGAUCGGCCACACUGGAACUGAGACACGGUCCAGACUCCUACGGGAGGCAGCAGUAGGGAAUCUUCCGCAAUGGGCGAAAGCCUGACGGAGCAACGCCGCGUGAGUGAUGAAGGUCUUCGGAUCGUAAAACUCUGUUAUUAGGGAAGAACAUAUGUGUAAGUAACUGUGCACAUCUUGACGGUACCUAAUCAGAAAGCCACGGCUAACUACGUGCCAGCAGCCGCGGUAAUACGUAGGUGGCAAGCGUUAUCCGGAAUUAUUGGGCGUAAAGCGCGCGUAGGCGGUUUUUUAAGUCUGAUGUGAAAGCCCACGGCUCAACCGUGGAGGGUCAUUGGAAACUGGAAAACUUGAGUGCAGAAGAGGAAAGUGGAAUUCCAUGUGUAGCGGUGAAAUGCGCAGAGAUAUGGAGGAACACCAGUGGCGAAGGCGACUUUCUGGUCUGUAACUGACGCUGAUGUGCGAAAGCGUGGGGAUCAAACAGGAUUAGAUACCCUGGUAGUCCACGCCGUAAACGAUGAGUGCUAAGUGUUAGGGGGUUUCCGCCCCUUAGUGCUGCAGCUAACGCAUUAAGCACUCCGCCUGGGGAGUACGACCGCAAGGUUGAAACUCAAAGGAAUUGACGGGGACCCGCACAAGCGGUGGAGCAUGUGGUUUAAUUCGAAGCAACGCGAAGAACCUUACCAAAUCUUGACAUCCUUUGACAACUCUAGAGAUAGAGCCUUCCCCUUCGGGGGACAAAGUGACAGGUGGUGCAUGGUUGUCGUCAGCUCGUGUCGUGAGAUGUUGGGUUAAGUCCCGCAACGAGCGCAACCCUUAAGCUUAGUUGCCAUCAUUAAGUUGGGCACUCUAAGUUGACUGCCGGUGACAAACCGGAGGAAGGUGGGGAUGACGUCAAAUCAUCAUGCCCCUUAUGAUUUGGGCUACACACGUGCUACAAUGGACAAUACAAAGGGCAGCGAAACCGUGAGGUCAAGCAAAUCCCAUAAAGUUGUUCUCAGUUCGGAUUGUAGUCUGCAACUCGACUACAUGAAGCUGGAAUCGCUAGUAAUCGUAGAUCAGCAUGCUAC